rnacentral:rRNA from 1 species
UACGGAGGGUGCGAGCGUUGUCCGGAAUCAUUGGGCGUAAAGGGCGCGUAGGUGGCGGCUUAAGCGUGCGGUGAAAGCUCGGGGCUCAACCCCGAGUCGGCCGUGCGAACUGAGUCGCUUGAGCACUGUAGAGGCAGGCGGAAUUCCGGGUGUAGCGGUGGAAUGCGUAGAGAUCCGGAAGAACACCGGUGGCGAAGGCGGUCUGCUGGGCAGUGGACCCGUGAGGGUCCAAUAGCCGACACUGAUGCGCGACAGCGUGGGGAGCAAACAGG